rnacentral:ncRNA from 2 species
UUGUACUACUAGGGGUGCCCACUUGGGCUGAGAGGAAAGAUCCGACCCUUAUGGACCUGAUCUGGUUAAUACCAGCGGAGGGAAGUAGUGGAUAAAUUAU